GAACAUCUUCUGGCAGAUCCUCUGCCUAGCCUGGUCCACGCCCCAGAUGCAGACGACGACUGACCUGGAGUGCCCGCUGUGUUUUACGCAGAGGAGCCGGACAACACCUGGAUGCAGGAGAUUUGGAAAAAAAAACAAUUUAUGGGCUAAAUCCACAAAGGGAUUUGGCCAUGGCUUCCAAGGUCCACAGCUAUGGAGAAGUCUACCAGAGGAACUUCCCUUGAAAUGGCAACUCCAGGGCUUCCGAGGUCUGUAGCUGCCCUCCAGAUACGUGACGGGGGAACGGCAAGGAGGCUGAGAACUUUGGCAUGAUUUACAUGAGGAUUUAAAAAGAAGCCAGAACCUUCAGCACAGACCCUGCCAUUUGAGCUAGAGUGCUAUUAGUGGGAUGAAGCAUGACAUAAGGAGGACAUAGAAGACUAAGAUGGCAUCUUCUCCAGUUGGAUCAUCCAACAGUUGUGAUCUGGGAAAGAGGAGAGAGAGAGGGAGGAUGCCUUCCCCCCCCCCCACGCACAUCACUCAAUUGGUUGCAGACAGCUCUGUGUGUUUGGGGCGGAGGGGAUUCAGCAAGAACGUGGUCUCUGUCAGCUACUACAUUGUUAAGCCACCAGAUGGGUAGCAGAGCUCAGACCAAUGUAAAUAAUUUAGUUAAGUGACUCCUUGUGAUCAGGAACAGUGCUAAUGUUUCUUUCACCAAGACUGCAGGAUCAUUUCAGGACACUUGUCAUUGUGCCCCACAAACUCCACUUACAAAAGAGAAGAAUUAAUGAAUGGAAGAGACCUAG